UACGGAGGGGGCUAGCGUUGUUCGGAAUUACUGGGCGUAAAGCGCACGUAGGCGGAAUUGUAAGUCAGGGGUGAAAUCCCGGGGCUCAACCUCGGAACUGCCUUUGAUACUGCAAGUCUCGAGUCCGGAAGAGGUGAGUGGAAUUCCUAGUGUAGAGGUGAAAUUCGUAGAUAUUCGCAAAAACACCAGUGGCGAAGGCGGCUCACUGGCCCGAUACUGACGCUGAGGUGCGAAAGCGUGGGGAGCAAACAGG
rnacentral:rRNA from 1 species